ACAGCAGCAGCCGCGGUAAUACGUAGGGUGCGAGCGUUAAUCGGAAUUACUGGGCGUAAAGCGUGCGCAGGCGGACUGUUAAGUAGGAAGUGAAAGGUCGGAGCUCAACUCCAACAUUGCUUCCUAUACUGGCAGUCUUGAGUAGCGGAGGGGAAGGGGGAACGACACGUGUAGCGGUGAAAUGCGUUGAUAUGUGUCGGAACACCCAUGGCGAAAGCACCCUUCUGGACGCAAACUGACGCUCAGGUUCGAAAGCCAAGGUAGCGAACAGGAUUAGAUACCCCCGUAGUCCCUGUCUCUUAUAC
rnacentral:rRNA from 1 species